ensembl:lncRNA
GCUGCAGCCUGACUGGACACCGGCGCUGCCUGCGACGGCGUAGCAAUUGUUGGUCCUGAGGAGGCUUGCGGGGGUUGACCCAACUUUACCUGGGUCCUUUCUCCGAUUAGGAAAUAGGGCUACGUAAUAAUAAUGGGAAGAGCCCCGAGCCACCAAUGCGGAGCAGCCUUACACCUGCAGCCGCUAACAAGAUUUUUGGCGUCGCAGUGUCCUGCAAGGUAGCUCCCACUGUGGCACAGUGGGUUAAGGAUCCAGCUUUGCCGCAGCUGUGGAGUAGGCCUGCAGCUGUUCUGGGAUUCAGUCCCUGGCUGGGGAACUUCAGUAUGCUGAGGAUGCGGCCAUUAAAAAAUGAAAAGAAAAUAAAACAGAAAACAGAAACUUCUUCUCCAUUCACGGAAAUCUUUGAUCUAAAGAAAAAUCCCAAAAUAUAAAGUUCUCAAUUCCUAAGACUCUGGCAGUUCAUACCAUCAAAGGAACAAAUUUCAAUGCAUAAAGGUCAUGUUAACUUGGUGAAAAAUAAGAUAAUAAAACUACCAGUUCCUGUACCUUUUCUGAUAAUGACUGAAGAGAGUUAGUACUCUGUAGGAAAGGUAUGUAUCUUAAGGACAACAUCGUCUUUCGAAAUGCAGUCAUUCUGUUAAUAUUGACCAGGUACUGCUGUUCUUGGUUACUAAAAAGAAACACUUGAGGAAGUAGAAUUUUAGCAGCAUGCUAGAAUUAAAGCAAAAUGUUUAGAUUGUAAGUCUAUAGAACUUUAUUCUUCAAACAAGCAUGUAUAAUUGACCUUACUGCUUUCAAAUCUGCAGCUGCAUCUGAUUUGAUCUCUAGCCUAGGCACUUCCAUAUGUUGCAGGUGCAGCCCUAAAAAAAUAAGUAAAUAAAAUUGCAACCCACACUGCA